CCUGGCGAGUCGCCAAGAAUCUUGCCCGAUGCGCAUGUUACGGCGUAACCUGUUAACGCCGUAACAUUUACACGAAGGCAGCUGAAGACUGUUCGACUUGAUGACGCUGUUUGGUCAACGCCCCCUGCUGCUACCGCCGGCUCUCGUCUACCCACAAUUCAUUGCGAUGGGCCGUUAAACACGGGUUAACCGGUAGAAACGUGGAGACGUAAAACACCAUCAAGAGAGAGGACGGCACGUGGGCGUACAGCCUGGUGAAAUACAUGCACUCAGAAACAUUAAGGAUUAAAGAUGGAACAUUAAAACA